GACAGAGGAUGCAAGCGUUACUCGGAAUUACUGGGCGUAAAGCGUGCGUAGGCGGUUUGUUAAGUCUGUCGUGAAAGCCCCGGGCUCAACCUGGGAAUGGCGAUGGAAACUGGUGAGCUAGAGUACGGUAGAGGGCAGUGGAAUUCCCGGUGUAGCAGUGAAAUGCGUAGAGAUCGGGAGGAACAUCAGUUGCGAAGGCGGCUGCCUGGACCAGUACUGACGCUGAGGCACGAAAGCGUGGGGAGCAAACAGG
rnacentral:rRNA from 1 species